ACGAACGCUGGCGGCGUGCUUAACACAUGCAAGUCGAGCGGAAAGGCCCUUUCGGGGGUACUCGAGCGGCGAACGGGUGAGUAACACGUGAGUAAUCUGCCCUGCGCUCUGGGAUAGCCACCGGAAACGGUGAUUAAUACCGGAUAGGACCACUUCACGCAUGUGAUGGUGGUGGAAAGUUUUUUCGGCGCAGGAUGUGCUCGCGGCCUAUCAGCUUGUUGGUGAGGUAACGGCUCACCAAGGCUUUGACGGGUAACCGGCCUGAGAGGGUGACCGGUCACACUGGGACUGAGACACGGCCCAGACUCCUACGGGAGGCAGCAGUGGGGAAUAUUGGACAAUGGGCGGAAGCCUGAUCCAGCAACGCCGCGUGAGGGAUGACGGCCUUCGGGUUGUAAACCUCUUUCAGUACCGACGAAGCGAAAGUGACGGUAGGUACAGAAGAAGGACCGGCCAACUACGU
rnacentral:rRNA from 1 species